AACAUACUCCCUCCGUCCUAAAAUUCUUGUCUUGGAUUUGUCUAGAUAUGAAUGUAUCUAGUCACAUUUUAAUAUUUAAAUACAUCUAUUUUUAUACAAACUUAAGACAAGAAUUUUGAGACGGAGGGAGUAUCAU
rfam:Hordeum vulgare subsp. vulgare, WGS project CAJW01000000 data, contig: morex_contig_42608